rnacentral:rRNA from 1 species
GGGUUGUGAGGUUAAGCGACUAAGCGUACACGGUGGAUGCCCUGGCAGUCAGAGGCGAUGAAGGACGUGCUAAUCUGCGAUAAGCGUCGGUAAGGUGAUAUGAACCGUUAUAACCGGCGAUUUCCGAAUGGGGAAACCCAGUGUGAUUCGUCACACUAUCAUUAACUGAAUCCAUAGGUUAAUGAGGCGAACCGGGGGAACUGAAACAUCUAAGUACCCCGAGGAAAAGAAAUCAACCGAGAUUCCCCCAGUAGCGGCGAGCGAACGGGGAGCAGCCCAGAGCCUGAAUCAGUGUGUGUGUUAGUGGAAGCGUCUGGAAAGGCGUGCGAUACAGGGUGACAGCCCCGUACACAAAAAUGCACAUACUGUGAGCUCGAUGAGUAGGGCGGGACACGUGGUAUCCUGUCUGAAUAUGGGGGGACCAUCCUCCAAGGCUAAAUACUCCUGACUGACCGAUAGUGAACCAGUACCGUGAGGGAAAGGCGAAAAGAACCCCGGCGAGGGGAGUGAAAAAGAACCUGAAACCGUGUACGUACAAGCAGUGGGAGCACGCUUAGGCGUGUGACUGCGUACCUUUUGUAUAAUGGGUCAGCGACUUAUAUUCUGUAGCAAGGUUAACCGAAUAGGGGAGCCGAAGGGAAACCGAGUCUUAACUGGGCGUUAAGUUGCAGGGUAUAGACCCGAAACCCGGUGAUCUAGCCAUGGGCAGGUUGAAGGUUGGGUAACACUAACUGGAGGACCGAACCGACUAAUGUUGAAAAAUUAGCGGAUGACUUGUGGCUGGGGGUGAAAGGCCAAUCAAACCGGGAGAUAGCUGGUUCUCCCCGAAAGCUAUUUAGGUAGCGCCUCGUGAAUUCAUCUCCGGGGGUAGAGCACUGUUUCGGCAAGGGGGUCAUCCCGACUUACCAACCCGAUGCAAACUGCGAAUACCGGAGAAUGUUAUCACGGGAGACACACGGCGGGUGCUAACGUCCGUCGUGAAGAGGGAAACAACCCAGACCGCCAGCUAAGGUCCCAAAGUCAUGGUUAAGUGGGAAACGAUGUGGGAAGGCCCAGACAGCCAGGAUGUUGGCUUAGAAGCAGCCAUCAUUUAAAGAAAGCGUAAUAGCUCACUGGUCGAGUCGGCCUGCGCGGAAGAUGUAACGGGGCUAAACCAUGCACCGAAGCUGCGGCAGCGACACUAUGUGUUGUUGGGUAGGGGAGCGUUCUGUAAGCCUGUGAAGGUGUACUGUGAGGUAUGCUGGAGGUAUCAGAAGUGCGAAUGCUGACAUAAGUAACGAUAAAGCGGGUGAAAAGCCCGCUCGCCGGAAGACCAAGGGUUCCUGUCCAACGUUAAUCGGGGCAGGGUGAGUCGACCCCUAAGGCGAGGCCGAAAGGCGUAGUCGAUGGGAAACAGGUUAAUAUUCCUGUACUUGGUGUUACUGCGAAGGGGGGACGGAGAAGGCUAUGUUGGCCGGGCGACGGUUGUCCCGGUUUAAGCGUGUAGGCUGGUUUUCCAGGCAAAUCCGGAAAACUAAGGCUGAGGCGUGAUGACGAGGCACUACGGUGCUGAAGCAACAAAUGCCCUGCUUCCAGGAAAAGCCUCUAAGCAUCAGGUAACAUCAAAUCGUACCCCAAACCGACACAGGUGGUCAGGUAGAGAAUACCAAGGCGCUUGAGAGAACUCGGGUGAAGGAACUAGGCAAAAUGGUGCCGUAACUUCGGGAGAAGGCACGCUGAUAUGUAGGUGAAGUCCCUCGCGGAUGGAGCUGAAAUCAGUCGAAGAUACCAGCUGGCUGCAACUGUUUAUUAAAAACACAGCACUGUGCAAACACGAAAGUGGACGUAUACGGUGUGACGCCUGCCCGGUGCCGGAAGGUUAAUUGAUGGGGUUAGCGCAAGCGAAGCUCUUGAUCGAAGCCCCGGUAAACGGCGGCCGUAACUAUAACGGUCCUAAGGUAGCGAAAUUCCUUGUCGGGUAAGUUCCGACCUGCACGAAUGGCGUAAUGAUGGCCAGGCUGUCUCCACCCGAGACUCAGUGAAAUUGAACUCGCUGUGAAGAUGCAGUGUACCCGCGGCAAGACGGAAAGACCCCGUGAACCUUUACUAUAGCUUGACACUGAACAUUGAGCCUUGAUGUGUAGGAUAGGUGGGAGGCUUUGAAGUGUGGACGCCAGUCUGCAUGGAGCCGACCUUGAAAUACCACCCUUUAAUGUUUGAUGUUCUAACGUUGACCCGUAAUCCGGGUUGCGGACAGUGUCUGGUGGGUAGUUUGACUGGGGCGGUCUCCUCCUAAAGAGUAACGGAGGAGCACGAAGGUUGGCUAAUCCUGGUCGGACAUCAGGAGGUUAGUGCAAUGGCAUAAGCCAGCUUGACUGCGAGCGUGACGGCGCGAGCAGGUGCGAAAGCAGGUCAUAGUGAUCCGGUGGUUCUGAAUGGAAGGGCCAUCGCUCAACGGAUAAAAGGUACUCCGGGGAUAACAGGCUGAUACCGCCCAAGAGUUCAUAUCGACGGCGGUGUUUGGCACCUCGAUGUCGGCUCAUCACAUCCUGGGGCUGAAGUAGGUCCCAAGGGUAUGGCUGUUCGCCAUUUAAAGUGGUACGCGAGCUGGGUUUAGAACGUCGUGAGACAGUUCGGUCCCUAUCUGCCGUGGGCGCUGGAGAACUGAGGGGGGCUGCUCCUAGUACGAGAGGACCGGAGUGGACGCAUCACUGGUGUUCGGGUUGUCAUGCCAAUGGCACUGCCCGGUAGCUAAAUGCGGAAGAGAUAAGUGCUGAAAGCAUCUAAGCACGAAACUUGCCCCGAGAUGAGUUCUCCCUGACUCCUUGAGAGUCCUGAAGGAACGUUGAAGACGACGACGUUGAUAGGCCGGGUGUGUAAGCGCAGCGAUGCGUUGAGCUAACCGGUACUAAUGAACCGUGAGGCUUAACCUUACAACGCCGAAGGUGUUU